CUUCCAAGAAGAGCCCUGGGAUCAAUGACAUAAAGUCGAAGGAAUUGAUAAUGCUACUGAAAUACAUUCGUUAGAUUCAGAUAGACCUGACGAACCACCCAAGAAAUCCAACUGGACGAAAGUAUUCCAUACAUGGAUUCAGGAUGAUGUGACAUCCUGUACAGCCAAUUAGAUGCCAGCAGAACGGCAGGAUUCCCGUUCAGAGAUUCACUGGAGGCACUAUGCAUGUUGUGACUUCCUGGAUCCCCAUGACCUCUUCAAAGACAGGGUAAGACACUGCAGGAGCCACUGUGUACUCUCCCUAUUUCUUUCUUACCGGUACUUUUAUGUAAUACUUGAGGUAAAAUGCUGGACUGCAGGUUUAUAAUGCCUCAAAUUGGCAGAGGCAUAGGUCAUGGAGACGACACAUGCCCGAAGGC
rnacentral:lncRNA from 1 species